rnacentral:tRNA from 1 species
CGGGAAGUGGCUCAGCCUGGUAGAGCACAGCGUUCGGGACGCUGGGGCCGCCGGUUCAAAUCCGGCCUUCCCGACCA